CCUACGGGUGGCAGCAGUGGGGAAUAUUGGGCAAUGGGCGCAAGCCUGACCCAGCAACGCCGCGUGAAGGAUGAAGGUUUUCGGAUUGUAAACUUCUGUCGCGAGGGACGAAGAAUGACGGUACCUCGUAAGAAAGCCCCGGCUAACUACGUGCCAGCAGCAGCGGUAAUACGUAGGGGGCAAGCGUUGUCCGGAAUGACUGGGCGUAAAGGGAGUGUAGGCGGCUUAUCAAGUUAGAUGUGAAAUCCUAUGGCUUAACCAUAGAACUGCAUUUGAAACUGUUAUUCUAGCGUAUGGGAGAGGUAGGUGGAAUUCUUGGUGUAGGGGUAAAAUCCGUAGAGAUCAAGAGGAAUACUCAUUGCGAAGGCGACCUGCUAGAACAUAACUGACGCUGAUGCGCGAAAGCGUGGGGAGCAAACAGGAUUAGAUACCCGAGUAGUC
rnacentral:rRNA from 1 species